rnacentral:misc_RNA from 1 species
GCAAAUGUAAAUCGUAAGGAUUCGCAAAGCAGAGGUCAGUUUCCAGCUAUUCGUUAGUAGUGAGUGUUAAUUCUCUGCAAGGACGCGUCACGUGGCUCAGCAGCUGCUGUAACCAAGGGACUCAACACAUCCAUUACUUUCUGACCUGACAUACCAAAACAUUCAAACAUUUUAAGUUAGCAGGCAACGCCCAGCGGUCUCCCCUUCCAGCGAGACUUGCCAUGCCUCCUGUUCAUUUGACAAUGAUUGGGCCUCGACUCUCGCUGCUUAUCACCGUAACGCUGCUACUGACGCCGCUGUGCCUCACCGAUCUGCCCCAUACACGUCACCAGAUACCCAAUGGAAGGAGUGUUAGUGACGAAGAGGUGGCAAUCACCUCGACUAUAUAUGAGGAAGGCGAUGGUGGUGAAGGUAAUGGUGCUAACGGUGACGGCCAUGAGCAAGAUGGAAUCCUAAGGGCGACUGCAAGGGCUAUCUGGGGAACACUUCGUCCUUAUGUUGUCGCUGAAGGCAUCGACAGCUUUGCAGAACGUUUGGUCUCACUCAAGUCUCGGCUGCUGAAGGAGGUGGAAGAUGAGGUCACUGCUUACACCAACGUCACCGUCUUCACGUGGCCAGACGAUGACUUUGGACCAGAGCAUCAAACCGAGGAAGUCAAGGCGGCCACGAGUGCGGGAGCCGGCGAGAACGACGACAGUUACUACAGUGGGAACGACAUGAUGAGAACGAAAAGGGAGCAUCCAGUCCAUCAUCCUUUUAUUCGUGACCCGUUCGGCGUGGCAAUGCUGGACGAAGUGGAUACACUGUUGUCGCUGGAGACGGAGCCGACACUAGGCGUCUAUAUGACUCAGUGGCAUGGGCGUCUCAUUGUUGCUGGCAUGGGUGUGAGGAAGAUCGUCACUCUGUACGCCGUCACGCAGCGGCCAUACAAGGUGGAGUCGACGCCUCCCUUUCCAGGCGUGCACUCCUGCAGGUUCACGGUGGUGCCUGAAGACAUACUGCUGGUGGCCUGCAUCUCGCCCGUUAGAAGGAAAGUGCAACACCUUGGUAUCCAUGAGGAACUAGUGCCUGAGGUGACUGUGUACCAGGUGGAGGAGGAAGCUUAUGGCUCCGGGAAACUAUCCACCAAGCAUCUGCAGAGCAUUGAGGUGGAUGAACCUGUGGACUUGGAGAUGUGGAGUCGGGACGGCGAACAUUACCUCCUAAUAGCCAACUCGAAGGAGGUCAAUGUGGAAUACAGCCCAUCUGGGGAGGUGCUGGCCCACAGAACCAACUAUCAUUCCGUUUCGUAUCUCUACAAGUGGAAGGAACACUACUUCGACGCCUUGCAGCACCGCGUCCUGCCAGGCAGCUACCCAAGGACUGUCACACAUUUCACCAUCGGGAGCAGGCACUUCGUCGCCAUGGCCAACUACAGAAACAACAAAGGGCAGCGCAACAUCGAUAGCUUCAUCUUCCACUACUCCUUAGAAGAGGACCAUCUCGUUCUCUUCCAGCAGCUGCCCACCAGAGGCGCCCUCCACAUCGCUAGCUUUACUUUGGGACACAGCCACUUCGCUGACACUUUCCUCGCAGUGGCCAACAGUUGUGAGGACGAAGAUGGAGGAAGCUGUAAUCCUCACACGAACUCUGCCAUCUAUCAGUUCACCGGCAAGAAGUUUGUGCUGUUUCAAGAAGUGCCGACCUUGCUCGCCGUACAGUGGCUGGCCGUGCAAGUGGAGGGCACGGUGCUCCUGGCGGUAGCGCAAAUGGUGGCUGGCGUGAAGCUGUUCCAGUAUGACGGUUGGAGGUUCGUUGCCACCAAAAUACAACACUAUGAGGGUUCCUUUGGCCCAGGAGCUACGGGUCUAGCAGCGGCACACUGGAACGGUACUGUCGUACUUGCCGUGUCUAGCCUGGAACACCAAGACUCGCUGUUCCACUCCCUUGACGUAUUCAGACUCACCUUCAGGAAAAACACUCGGCUAAAGGCAGUUCAUAGCGACUAUGAGGCGUGGUGUGUAGCGGCCUUGCGCGAAGCCAAGCAGACGGAACUGGUGGCCUCGCUGGUGAGCGGGAUACAAGCGGCUACCAAUCAGACUUACGUUUUCACUAGUCACGUCACCAUCAAGGGGUCUUUAACCGCCGGCCUGGGCAGCUUCGUUACCCAGACGUUUGAGAGGACGACGAGCAGGCACUUGCCAGUCUUGACCGGCGGCAUUACCCAGUUGCUGCUGACUUUAGGGAGUAAAGUGCAGCAAGCGGUGGUUAGAAUUUCCAAUGCAGUCAGCCUCUCCGAUCCUAUCUCUUGGCCAGGUGACCUUCAUCUAUAUGACUUGUCUGCUGGCUCGGCUUCAGCGGAACGUUUGUAUGUGCAUGAUGUCAAUCAGCGGGUGGUGUCGUGGAGGGACGCUGUCAUGCUGGAGGGAAUCGAUCUGCAGUAUAUGGCACGACUCCGUCUGGAUCAUGUGGAGAUUAAGGCUGUGACGCAGAUAGCAAACCUGAAGGGUCAGCCCUUUUCCUCGUUCGUGACCCUUAGUGGCCACCAUACCAUUUUUGGUCAUGUGAGCUUCAGUGCUGCAAUCCGUGUCGCUAGCCUGAUCGCCGUCACUGUGGACAAAGUCGUGAUCACUCCACAAUAUGUUCUUAUCGCUGAUGAUUCGCAAUACUUAAAUGGGUCACUCACCUGCCAGUAUCUGAAUGCUGUUUCCCUGGAGGUGGUCACCAUCAAUGGCGUUCCACUUUCGCCACUCCUCUCCUCUCUAGUCUUGAAGGACGCCCGUUCCGCUGUAAAUGGUCUUGUGAGGGUGAUGGGCAACCUGGCGUACCAUGGGAACCUGCAGGUCAACCUCAGCUUGCCUCUCGAUCUGAAAAACGUCAUUAAAGUUGAUUAUGCAGGAUUGCAGGUUGUCACAGGUGGCCACCAGGUGGGCGAGCUUGCAGCUCCGUCCAUGGCGAUAGAAGGACGUCUCAACAAUAUGCGGGUUCCCGCCGAGGUGUUUCUAAAUGGCAGCCAUCACUCGUACAUUGUAGUGUCAGCUGCUUUCAGCCACGUGCGGGCCAUCUCUGUCUUCAUUUUCCAGAAGCUCCACAAUCUCACGGUGACCGAAGGUCGCUUGGACGUACUGUUGCUCUCGGGAUAUCAGAUAGUGACGGCACCAAAGACCUUUACUUCACUUCAGCUUUUGGAGCAAAACGCUCCUAACUAUAGGAGUGCUAGCAUUCGCCGUCGGCGUUGGUCGAGUGAGAACUGUGAGUUACCGAGGAAUCGAAGGCCAAAAACAUUGACUGCCCGCAUAGAAACGCUUUUUUUGGUCCUAAGAGGAGUGGCAGCAGCCCAGGAUCUCUUGAUCUUUCUGACUGAGAUACAACCAGGACAAUUUCUGGUUCCUGGACAGAAUCUGAACUUUUUCAAUUUACUGAUGCAAAAUGUUGACUGUGCUAUUUUGUACCUCGAGAACAACGGUAAUCUAAAACUCCAUGAAACUUUGGAUGCAAUAAAGUGGCACAAUACGACCGUCUUCAUACAGAAUGAAUUACCCACCGAUAAUAUGACAGAAAUGAUAGGUAACAUCCAAAGUUACUUGGUUCAGGAAAAGUUGGAACUAAAAAAAGUUACUUUGAAUGCCGAUGACUUGCUUCUUAUAAACAACUUAAAGAAAGUUGACUCGACGAGACGUGAUCUGCUCAUUCUAGACUAUUUGAUUGAUAUUACAAGCAACCAUGAGUUGGAGAACCUUCCUUCUGAAAUAUUCCAUCGUAAUUGUUUGCUGUUUUGUCCUGCAUUCCAUGAGAAUAUUCGAGAUAGGAAAAAAAUGCAGAUGAGUUGUAUCCCAGAAAUUUUGACAGUUUUUAAAGCCAUGAAAACCAUCUCAAAGUAUUCGGCGAUCAUUACAGAAAUGAAGCAGCUAUCGGCACACAGUUACCAAAUACUCAAGGCAGGAGUUGUACGAUAUCUCCUUGGUCAGCUGCUUCGGUCGGUAUCGGAGAAGAAAGAGCUGAGAAAACAGGUGUACGCAGCAGUUGUCUGUAGAUUAUCGCCUGAAGGAAGUGAAGAAUAUCAGCAGAUGCUUAUAACUUAUCGAAGAGAAUUGCACCAAAAUACUUCCAGAUUCAUUCACUCGAGGAUCAAGAGGCAAGCAUCUGAAGCAGCUUAUGGAUUAACAGACCCUGAACCUCCCUCCACAUUGCCAGCUUCUAACAGUGAGGACACUUCCACCAUCCCACUUUCAUUUAAUGAAGACGCAAAUGAAAAUUCUUCCACCCUCCAAGAUUCAGUUAUUGAGAACACCAGUCAAGACUCUUCUACACUUUCGGCCUCCACCACGGAGGCCACCAGUGAAGACUCUCCCACACUCUCAGUCUCCGCCAGAAAGAACAUCGCCGCCAUCCCUGAGGACACCAGUCAAGACUCUUCCGCCUUCACGGUCUCCAUCAUUGACAAUAACAGUGAAGACUCCUCCGCCCUCCCACUCUCCGUCACUGAGGACACUAGUGAAGACUCCUCCACCCUCCAAGCCUCCGUCACUGAGGACACCAAUGAAGACUCCUCCACCCUUCCUACCUCCAUCACUGAGGACACCAUUGAAGACUCCUCCACCCUCCCAGCCUCCGUCACUGAUGAAACCAGUGGAGACUCCUCCAUCCUCCCAGCCUCCAUUACUGAUGAAACCAGUGGAGACUCCUCCAUCUUCCCAGCCUCCAUCACUGAGGACACCAGUGGGGACUCCUCCACUCCCCCAGCCUCCAUCACUGAGGACACCAGUGGAGACCCCUCCAUCUUCCCAGCCUCCAUCACUGAGGACACCAGUGGAGACUCCUUCACCCUCCCAGUCUCCGUCACUGAGGACACCAGUGGAGACUCCUCCACCUUCACAGCCUACGUCACUGAGGACACCAGUGGAGACUCCUCCAUCCUCCCAGCUUCCGUCACUGAAGACACCAGUGGAGACUCCUCCACCCUCUCAGCCUCCGUCACUGAGGACACCAGGGGAGACUCCUCCAUCCUCCCAGCUUCCGUCACUGAAGACACCAGUGGAGACUCCUCCACCCUCCCAGCCUCCGUCACUGAGGACACCAGUGGAGACUCCUCCAUCCUCCCAGCUUCCGUCACUGAAGACACCAGUGGAGAUUCCUCCACCCUCCCAGCCUCCGUCACUGAGGACACCAGUGGAGACUCCUCCAUCCUCCCAGCUUCCGUCACUGAGGGCACCAGUGGAGACUCCUCCAUCCUCCCAGCUUCCGUCACUGAAGACACCAGUGGAGAUUCCUCCACCCUCCCAGCCUCCGUCACUGAGGACACCAGUGGAGACUCCUCCACCCUCCCAGCCUCCGUCACUGAGGACACCAGUGGAGACUCCUCCAUCCUCCCAGCUUCCGUCACUGAGGGCACCAGUGGAGACUCCUCCACCUUCACAGCCUACGUCACUGAGGACACCAGUGGAGACUCCUCCAUCCUCCCAGCUUCCGUCACUGAGGGCACCAGUGGAGACUCCUCCACCUUCACAGCCUACGUCACUGAGGACACCAGUGGAGACUCCUCCAUCCUCCCAGCUUCCGUCACUGAGGACACCAGUGGAGACUCCUCCACCCUCCCAGCCUACGUCACUGAGGACACCAGUGGAGACUCCUCCAACCUCCUACACUCCGUCAUCGACAAUACCAGCGAAGGCUCCUCCACCCUCCUAGCCUCUUUCAUUGAGGACACCAGUGGAGACUCCUCCACCCUCCCACCCUCCGUCAUUGACAGCACUAACGAAGGCUCCUCCACCCUCCCAACCUCCGUCACUGAGGACACUAGUGGAGACUCCUCCACCAUCCCAUCCUCCGUCAUUGACAGUACCAGCGAAGGCUACUCCACUCUCCCAGCCUCCGUCACUGAGGACACCAGUGGAGACUCUUCCACCCUCCCAGCCUCCAUCACUGAGAACACCAGUGAAGACUCCUCCACCCUCCCAGCCUCCAUAACUGAGGACACUAGUGAAGACUCCUCCACCCUCCCAGCUUCCAUCACUGAGGACACCAGUGGAGACUCUUCCACCCUCCCAGCCUCCAUCACUGAGGACAGCAGUGAAAAUUCUUCCGUUACACCGUAUCGCAGGGAAGAUGCCAAUGAAGAUUCUUCCACCCACACAUUAUCCAUCGGUGAAAUCAAUACCGCUUUCGCUGCUGCCACCACUGAAUUUUUUUCCUCCAGUUUAGACUCUUCCACUUUCACUGGUUCCACCAAUGAAAUCUCUUUCAAUUUUUCAACUUUAGCCCCACUCUCUGUCUCUCCAUCCUCCAUGUACGGUGAUAGUGUGUUUCUUUCUGCUCGCGCUGGGUUAUUAUCGGAACUCCGAGAACUUGAGACAACCGUGGCUGUGGACUCCGAUAAGACCACUCAGAUUUUAGGAUUCCAAACAACUGAUGAGAAAACAACACCAGAAGACCAUGUAACUGAUAGUAUCUUAAGACUUUCAACGACAGGAAAUGCACAAAUCACCGGCAUUUUUGCAGACAUUUUAGGACUGAGAACAACGGAAGGGACCUCAGAAUCUAUGGAUAGCGUGACCGUGGACUUAAAAGGAACCAUUGAUUUAACUGCAAUCUCAGGAUCCCAGACUGUUGGGAUAACUGGCAAUGAGAUUGCAGAUCCAGAAACGAUACCUGAAGCAGAAAAGCCGAAUUUUACAACGGACAUAACCAAAACCAGUACUACAACAGUAACGGAUGUCACAGAGGACUCUUCACCAAACACGAUGACCGAAAAAGCCACAGAAUCAAGUGUAGUUACGGACAAGGACAUAACAAAUCCCUUUACCAUUGUGAACAACAACAUGGAGGUGAAUCUCUCCCAGACUGAUGCUGAUGCAAUCCUUGUACCUUUGAAAGUGUCUCUAAACUACGAAAACUGCAGUACCCUUCCUCCAAACCUACUGCAGGACUCAAAUCGUCUCAUGUAUCUUUAUCGACGCAUGCAAAUGACCGAUGACUAUUUUUCCACUGUAGUCCGACUCCUGCCUGAGCUAAAAGUUCCCAAAGAACCCUCCCAGUAUGACGUUGGUGUAGAAGGCGCUAUGUUAGAUGCGUUUGGAUUUUUAAUCGAUACAGUCAAGAAAUUUGUACUUGAUCCCAUCGGCUUUCUAGGUGAGUUAGACAUAGAGAGACUCCAGAAAGAUUUGGAUUUUUUCUUUUUUGUGUCGAGUUUUGCCACAUCCUCACAGUACUACUACUGGUCUGAAAGAUUGCGAUAUAGAGAUCUGUAUUUAAAAACUUUGUUGGAAUUCAGUGGAAUAAUCACCAGAAGACUCCUGAAUUGCUUUGAGACAUUUUAUCCAGAAUUUUCUACCUCAGGCUACGAAACUACAUCACAUCCUUUUGCUUACUCUGAUGACAUGCCUGAGAUUGUGAAGAAUAUGAGUGAGGAAUUUAAAACCAACAGUGCCUUGAUAAAGAAUUUGAUGAUCCUGUUGAACUUCACCAAAAACGUUGUGGCGCUCAACCCAUAUCUGAAUAAGAGGUGUCCGGCGCCGCACGCCAUCGAUCCCGAGGGUGUGGCCAUCGCGAUAGAGGAAGUGAGAGAGACACUGGGCUUUAUUUUGGAGGACGAACUUAUGUUUAGUAAAGUCGUCAAUACCAGUUUUUUAGAAAACCAGGUCCUGAUUCUUAAAGAUAACACGCAAAUGUGCUUGAUGGCGAGUCACCUACCUCAGGAGGUAGAGGCUUCUUUGAGUCAGAUCUAUGAAGAGAAUGGCUCUGUAUUGGCAGAAGACGCUCAAAAACUUUUGAAUAUUCGUAUAAAACACCUACAGCGGAUCAACCUCGCCCUGGUAGACACUAUUGUCGAUAUUGCUGAUCAUCGUGCCAUAGAUAGUGAACUAUCUCCUCCUGAACCUAUCAGUGCUAUCCCUGACUCACAGACUCAAUGGAACUGGGAUGGUUUAUGGUUGGAUGGUCGCCUGGCAGGUUACCUCCUCUCUCAGUUGUUUGAUGAGGCUGGUCUACUUCUCUCUGCAUCGCCUCAUAAGGAGUACACUGCCAACUUCUACCCUGCGCCACUCAGCCAUGUAAACUUCAUAGAGGCACACAAGGACAAGGUGCGACACCUCAGAUUCCUUUCCGGGCUGAGUGCUCCCACGGUGCAGGGGAUGGGAAUGGCACAAAUACAGCGGCACGGGUUGGCUCUCACUGCCACCACAAACAUCGUUCUCACCUUCGUCGCUUCUGUCACCGUGGAUGGGCCGGUAACAGUGUCCCGUGUGAACGGGAUCCACGCGUCUUCCUUCAUCACGUUGGGUGGACAUCACACACUGCAACAACCCUUCAUCUUUAUGGGUUCCAUCACGGCUGCGGCACGAGUGAGAGUACAUAACGAGAUCAACGGCCUUGACUUGGUACUCUUAAGUAAUAGCGUGGUGUUGACGUCCUCUGUGACGCGCCAAGUCUUGCGGCAGCCCAUCAUUUUUACACAAGUGUCCGCUCAAAGGGUGGUGUUUGAGACAGGCAGAGUGCAGGAAGUGGACUUGGAUGAUUUGGUAACGCUCGGCCACCCUGCCAUCAUCACAGGAAGGAAGACUUUCCAGGAAUUGAUUGUGAGGGAGAAUGGAACUGUGGCCGGUGCCGUUGACGCUCGCUAUGUCGGCGGCAUCAACGUCACCGAUCUCUUCUACAAUUCCCUCAUCAAGAACCCAGGUGGCCUGCAGGUGGUGGCGGGGAGGCUGCACCUGCGCCACCUUGUUGUGCUGAAUGACGUCACCACUCACGGUAUUGUCUGCCUGGAUUGGCAUGGCGUUCCUGGCGUCUUGGAUCUCAACAGCAUUGCAAGUCGCGUGGUGCUCCUGAACGGCUCUGCUAGCAUCACCGCAGAUCUAGUCAUUACGGGCAGCGUGUACGUCACUGGCUUGUUCUUUCGAGACACGUUGGACGGGGUGUCGGUGGCGCUGUACCGAGACGGGUGGAUACUUAGGGACACCGAUCAGAGCAUCCAUGGCAAUGUGUCCUUCGACAACAUUAUCUCUCACAGUGUUAUCAUCUCGCAGGGAAUUAAGGUGCAGGAUGUUGACGUGACUCGCUUGUAUCUCAAAACCUUCCUGACGACGUGGCCCAGCACUCUUCCCUUGCCCCUCACAUUCCGCGGGCAUGUGAAUGCAGCGCGGGUGGAAGUCAGGGGACUGGUGCAGGGAUGGGAUCUCUCCAAGCACGCUCUGCUUCAGCAUUCCUCUAGCACAGUUUUUACCGCCGCCAAGGUCUUCCUGGGUGACGUGCUUAUCGCUGGAAACCUCACCUCCACAAACCCUGGUGACGACUGCACCUACUUUCCCUUUCUAAACCUGACGGUUAUAGGCACGGUGGUGGUGGAAAAUAUUUUUCCAACUGCCUCUGUAUUUCUGCCAGAUCACGAGAUCACGACCAAGACCGCCACGCAGUAUUGGCUAGCGGACACGGACACGAAAGUGUCGAUAGAGAUAUUCUUUGACGUAAUUGUUUUGUCGCAUCUUAAUGCGAUCGUGACGUGGAACAACUUGGAGAUGAAGGACUUCAGCAAGAGCUUGUUUGAGAAACGAUGCGACGUAGUGCAGGCGCUGGCGGGCUUUUAUUCCUUCAGUGAUCUGGAGAUUGAAGAAAGUCUCUACACGCCAGCCAUCAACAGUUCGUCCCUGAACGGCGUGGUAAGCAGCAACCUGCGGCAUGUGUUAAUGGCAGACGGCGCACAGGUGUUCACCGGUCAUCCCAGUAUCAACAACCUUCGUGCUCACGGGAGUGGUACUGUGGUCACAUCUGAAGGAGUUAAUGGUCUGCUGAUGUCCCAUAUGUGUCGCCAUGCAGAGCCUUGCAUCGUACACGCCCCUAAAACUUUGGUGCAAGACUUUGAAAUCAUGGAGGACUUGACUCUACCAAAAAACAGUCUCGUUCAGGGCGUUGAUGUGUCGCGUUCUCUGCAUGCAUGGGUGUCGAGAAAUUUGUGUGGCUUCAUACCCGGGCUCACCACUUUCACCGGUCCCUUCAUCGUGGACAAUGCUGACUACAACAUCAGGAAUUAGCGUUGUGAGCCACGAGAUAACUACUUUGGACGGCCUCUUCAAUGGUCACAACCUGACGGACGCAAGGCAAAGGGCUUUUCUCCUUGGGGAUCCUGCGCUGCCUGUAGUGGUGCGG